GAGUUUGAUCCUGGCUCAGGACGAACGCUGGCGGCGUGCUUAACACAUGCAAGUCGAACGAAAAGAGGGAAAGAGCUUGCUCUUUCCGGAAUUGAGUGGCAAACGGGUGAGUAACACGUAAACAACCUGCCUUCAGGAUGGGGACAACAGACGGAAACGACUGCUAAUACCGAAUAAGUUCCAAGAGCCGCAUGGCCCAUGGAAGAAAAGGUGGCCUCUACCUGUAAGCUAUCGCCUGAAGAGGGGUUUGCGUCUGAUUAGCUGGUUGGAGGGGUAACGGCCCACCAAGGCGACGAUCAGUAGCCGGUCUGAGAGGAUGAACGGCCACACUGGAACUGAGACACGGUCCAGACUCCUACGGGAGGCAGCAGUGGGGAAUCUUCCGCAAUGGGCGAAAGCCUGACGGAGCAACGCCGCGUGAGUGAUGACGGCCUUCGGGUUGUAAAACUCUGUGAUCCGGGACGAAAAGGCAGAGUGCGAAGAACAAACUGCAUUGACGGUACCGGAAAAGCAAGCCACGGCUAACUACGUGCCAGCCGCCGCGGUAAUAC
rnacentral:rRNA from 1 species